GUAGUGGUAGUUCAGUGGUAGAAUUCUCAACUUUCAUGAGAGAGAGUCAGGUUCAAACCCUGGUCAACGCA
rnacentral:tRNA from 1 species